rnacentral:rRNA from 1 species
GAUGAACGCUGGCGGCGUGCCUAACACAUGCAAGUCGAACGGACAUUUUUUGGAAAGCUCUUCGGAACUGGAAUCUAAAUGUUAGUGGCGGACGGGUGAGUAACGCGUGAGCAAUCUGCCUUUCAGAGGGGGAUAACAGCCGGAAACGGCUGCUAAUACCGCAUAAGCGCACGUCAUCGCAUGAUGGUGUGUGAAAAACUCCGGUGGUAUGAGAUGGACCCGCGUCUGAUUAGGUAGUUGGUGGGGUAACGGCCCACCUAGCCGACGAUCAGUAGCCGACCUGAGAGGGUGACCGGCCACAUUGGGACUGAGACACGGUCCAA